rnacentral:lncRNA from 1 species
CAGCAAUAUCUUUCAGGAGUGAAAGAGACAGAUGAAGAAAGUUUAAGAUAACUUGUGGCCAGUAGGCCUGCUUUAAAAUAAAUACUGAAGGAAGCUUUUCAGAACUAAGAAAAAUUAUACCAGACAGAUAUUUGGAACAUUGAGAAUGAAGGAAGAGCAAAGGAAAUGGUGACUAUCUAGGUAUUUGCUGAUUUGCUAGCUGUGGCUAAAAGGCUGAGAGACUGACCAGAGAUUUUACAAACCCAUGGAGCUCUGGGAACAAAAUUGGAGUUCAUGGCUUGUCAAAAUGAGAGACUUGAUAAACAUUGAGGAUUUCAGCAGAAAACUCCAAUAUUCUAUGCUCUGGGGUACACGUAAAGCCUUCACAAAGCUUUCACAAAGAGAAAAGCUCUCAUAAAGACUCAGGGCCAACUUUCAGUUAUCUUCAUCUCAGAGAUCUGCUUUACUUGAGUUGCCUGCAAAAUUAAAAAGUAUUGCCUCUGCAGAAAGGCUGCAUCAUCCAGAGGCUCAAAUGACCUCUACAAUAUUCCAAGUACAAUGCCCAGCAUUCAAUAAAGAUAAACAGCCAUUGACUGGAUAUUUAGUUAAAGAAAACAAUGGAAACAGACUCAUGGGAAAUCUAGUUAUUAAAUAUGUCA